rnacentral:misc_RNA from 1 species
UGCACCAAAGGCUUUUCAGUGUUGUCGUCGGCUUCAGCAUCGGUGUCAUUACCAAGAGGAAACACCUCGACAUCGCCAGAAAAGCUUACACUCUUUCUCGGUUUCUUCUGUGUUGGUUUCUUCUCCUUAGAGGUCUCGGCAUCAUUAAAGGUUCUCUCCUUCCCACUGACAUUUUCUCUCAAUGAUUCCAACCCACCAACCACAACUUCCUUUCCCUUCUUCUGUUUCUUAUUCUGAACCUUGUCUUCCGCCGACAAUUGUUG